GGGGGUAUUAAAGAGAGAGACAGAGAGAGAGCGAGGGGGGUAUUAAAGAGAGAUACAGAGAGAGAGCCAGGGGGGUAUUAAAGAGAGAGACAGAGAGAGAGCCAGGGGGUAAUAAAGAGAGAGACAGAGAGAGAGCCAGGGGGGGUAAUAAAGAGAGAGACAGAGAGAGAGCGAGGGGGUAUUAAAGAGAGAGACAGAGAGAGAAAGCCAGGGGGUGUAUUAAAGAGAGAGACAGAGAGAGAGCGAGGGGGUGUUAAAGAGAGAGACAGAGAGAGAGCCAGGGGGGUAUUAAAGAGAGAGACAGAGAGAGAGUGAGGGGGUGUUAAAGAGAGAGACAGAGAGAGAGAGCCAGGGGG
ensembl:lncRNA